UAGACUUGGUAUAAGUCUUCGAAUGAUACCACUUU
rnacentral:sRNA from 1 species